GGUCCAUGAUGAUUGGUAAAAGGUCUGACUGCACUUAACGUCGCAGUCCUUCCUCGCCCUCGACUCCCAGCAGCCCGUUUGGUUCCUCCCGUCACAUUUAAGUCAUGUGCAUGGGGUCAUGGUGCAGCUGACAACUUUGGACUCUGUCAUGGUGUGUUUCUGAGAGCUACAGGGUCACAGCUGACAAGUGUCCAACAGACGCAGUUCUGCAGGAGGCUUGUGAGGGCAGGCAGGUGUGACGGUGCCUGAUCUCAAGUUUUCAAUCUGAGACC
rnacentral:snoRNA from 1 species